GACGGAGGAUGCAAGUGUUAUCCGGAAUCACUGGGCGUAAAGCGUCUGUAGGUGGUUUAAUAAGUCAACUGUUAAAUCUUGAGGCUCAACCUCAAAAUCGCAGUCGAAACUAUUAGGCUAGAGUAUAGUAGGGGUAAAGGGAAUUUCCAGUGGAGCGGUGAAAUGCGUAGAGAUUGGAAAGAACACCGAUGGCGAAGGCGAUUUACUGGGCUAUUACUAACACUCAGAGACGAAAGCUAGGGUAGCAAAUGGG
rnacentral:rRNA from 1 species